rnacentral:lncRNA from 1 species
CAAAAAAAAAGUGAUUACCGGCGGCAUUUCCCGUCGGUAAAAAAGGGACGGCCGCCGGCGAUUCAAUUACCGGCGGCAUUACCGGCGGCAAGUUGCCGCCGGUAUAUAUCUCGUCGGAGAUGUGAAUCCCGGCGGCGAAGCUCAGCCGCCGGAGAUUGGCGGCGGCCCUACCGCCGGUGGAGUUUCUCGGGAAGCUCAGGUGAUUUCCCGAAUGUUUACCGGCGGUCAUUGCCGCCGGUAAUCAGCGGCGGCUAUAUGCAGCCGGUAAUCAGCGGCGGUACCAUUGCCGCCGGUGAUCACCACCACUACACCGAUGGUCGUCGAUGUUUGGGGAUUACCGGCGGC